CGAGGUGUGGCGCAGCUUGGUAGCGCGUUUGGUUCGGGACCAAAAGGUCGCAGGUUCAAAUCCUGUCACCUCGACCA
rnacentral:tRNA from 1 species